rnacentral:rRNA from 1 species
CCUACGGGUGGCAGCAGUGGGGAAUAUUGCACAAUGGGGGAAACCCUGAUGCAGCGACGCCGCGUGAGUGAAGAAGUAAUUCGUUACGUAAAGCUCUAUCAGCAGGGAAGCAAAUGACGGUACCUGAGUAAGAAGCCCCGGCUAACUACGUGCCAGCAGCCGCGGGAAUACGUAGGGGGCAAGCGUUAUCCGGAUUUACUGGGGGUAAAGGGCGUUUAGGGGGGAGUGCAAGUCAGAUGUGAAAACUAUGGGCUCAACCCAUAGCCUGCAUUUGAAACUGUACGUCUUGAGUGCUGGAGAGGCAAGCGGAAUUCGGUGUGUAGCGGUGAAAUGCGUAGAUAUAGGGAGGAACACCAGUGGCGAAGGCGGAUUGCUGGACAGUAACUGACGCUGAGGCGCGAAAGCGUGGGGAGCAAACAGGAUUAGAUACCCCGGUAGUC